UUAAGCGACUAAGCGUACACGGUGGAUGCCCUGGCAGUCAGAGGCGAUGAAGGACGUGCUAAUCUGCGAUAAGCGUCGGUAAGGUGAUAUGAACCGUUAUAACCGGCGAUUUCCGAAUGGGGAAACCCAGUGUGUUUCGACACACUAUCAUUAACUGAAUCCAUAGGUUAAUGAGGCGAACCGGGGGAACUGAAACAUCUAAGUACCCCGAGGAAAAGAAAUCAACCGAGAUUCCCCCAGUAGCGGCGAGCGAACGGGGAGCAGCCCAGAGCCUGAAUCAGUGUGUGUGUUAGUGGAAGCGUCUGGAAAGGCGCGCGAUACAGGGUGACAGCCCCGUACACAAAAAUGCACAUGCUGUGAGCUCGAUGAGUAGGGCGGGACACGUGGUAUCCUGUCUGAAUAUGGGGGGACCAUCCUCCAAGGCUAAAUACUCCUGACUGACCGAUAGUGAACCAGUACCGUGAGGGAAAGGCGAAAAGAACCCCGGCGAGGGGAGUGAAAAAGAACCUGAAACCGUGUACGUACAAGCAGUGGGAGCACGCUUAGGCGUGUGACUGCGUACCUUUUGUAUAAUGGGUCAGCGACUUAUAUUCUGUAGCAAGGUUAACCGAAUAGGGGAGCCGAAGGGAAACCGAGUCUUAACUGGGCGUUAAGUUGCAGGGUAUAGACCCGAAACCCGGUGAUCUAGCCAUGGGCAGGUUGAAGGUUGGGUAACACUAACUGGAGGACCGAACCGACUAAUGUUGAAAAAUUAGCGGAUGACUUGUGGCUGGGGGUGAAAGGCCAAUCAAACCGGGAGAUAGCUGGUUCUCCCCGAAAGCUAUUUAGGUAGCGCCUCGUGAAUUCAUCUCCGGGGGUAGAGCACUGUUUCGGCAAGGGGGUCAUCCCGACUUACCAACCCGAUGCAAACUGCGAAUACCGGAGAAUGUUAUCACGGGAGACACACGGCGGGUGCUAACGUCCGUCGUGAAGAGGGAAACAACCCAGACCGCCAGCUAAGGUCCCAAAGUCAUGGUUAAGUGGGAAACGAUGUGGGAAGGCCCAGACAGCCAGGAUGUUGGCUUAGAAGCAGCCAUCAUUUAAAGAAAGCGUAAUAGCUCACUGGUCGAGUCGGCCUGCGCGGAAGAUGUAACGGGGCUAAACCAUGCACCGAAGCUGCGGCAGCGACGCUGAUGCGUUGUUGGGUAGGGGAGCGUUCUGUAAGCCUGCGAAGGUGUGCUGUGAGGCAUGCUGGAGGUAUCAGAAGUGCGAAUGCUGACAUAAGUAACGAUAAAGCGGGUGAAAAGCCCGCUCGCCGGAAGACCAAGGGUUCCUGUCCAACGUUAAUCGGGGCAGGGUGAGUCGACCCCUAAGGCGAGGCCGAAAGGCGUAGUCGAUGGGAAACAGGUUAAUAUUCCUGUACUUGGUGUUACUGCGAAGGGGGGACGGAGAAGGCUAUGUUGGCCGGGCGACGGUUGUCCCGGUUUAAGCGUGUAGGCUGGUUUUCCAGGCAAAUCCGGAAAAUCAAGGCUGAGGCGUGAUGACGAGGCACUACGGUGCUGAAGCAACAAAUGCCCUGCUUCCAGGAAAAGCCUCUAAGCAUCAGGUAACAUCAAAUCGUACCCCAAACCGACACAGGUGGUCAGGUAGAGAAUACCAAGGCGCUUGAGAGAACUCGGGUGAAGGAACUAGGCAAAAUGGUGCCGUAACUUCGGGAGAAGGCACGCUGAUAUGUAGGUGAAGUCCCUCGCGGAUGGAGCUGAAAUCAGUCGAAGAUACCAGCUGGCUGCAACUGUUUAUUAAAAACACAGCACUGUGCAAACACGAAAGUGGACGUAUACGGUGUGACGCCUGCCCGGUGCCGGAAGGUUAAUUGAUGGGGUUAGCGCAAGCGAAGCUCUUGAUCGAAGCCCCGGUAAACGGCGGCCGUAACUAUAACGGUCCUAAGGUAGCGAAAUUCCUUGUCGGGUAAGUUCCGACCUGCACGAAUGGCGUAAUGAUGGCCAGGCUGUCUCCACCCGAGACUCAGUGAAAUUGAACUCGCUGUGAAGAUGCAGUGUACCCGCGGCAAGACGGAAAGACCCCGUGAACCUUUACUAUAGCUUGACACUGAACAUUGAGCCUUGAUGUGUAGGAUAGGUGGGAGGCUUAGAAGUGUGGACGCCAGUCUGCAUGGAGCCGACCUUGAAAUACCACCCUUUAAUGUUUGAUGUUCUAACGUUGACCCGUAAUCCGGGUUGCGGACAGUGUCUGGUGGGUAGUUUGACUGGGGCGGUCUCCUCCUAAAGAGUAACGGAGGAGCACGAAGGUUGGCUAAUCCUGGUCGGACAUCAGGAGGUUAGUGCAAUGGCAUAAGCCAGCUUGACUGCGAGCGUGACGGCGCGAGCAGGUGCGAAAGCAGGUCAUAGUGAUCCGGUGGUUCUGAAUGGAAGGGCCAUCGCUCAACGGAUAAAAGGUACUCCGGGGAUAACAGGCUGAUACCGCCCAAGAGUUCAUAUCGACGGCGGUGUUUGGCACCUCGAUGUCGGCUCAUCACAUCCUGGGGCUGAAGUAGGUCCCAAGGGUAUGGCUGUUCGCCAUUUAAAGUGGUACGCGAGCUGGGUUUAGAACGUCGUGAGACAGUUCGGUCCCUAUCUGCCGUGGGCGCUGGAGAACUGAGGGGGGCUGCUCCUAGUACGAGAGGACCGGAGUGGACGCAUCACUGGUGUUCGGGUUGUCAUGCCAAUGGCACUGCCCGGUAGCUAAAUGCGGAAGAGAUAAGUGCUGAAAGCAUCUAAGCACGAAACUUGCCCCGAGAUGAGUUCUCCCUGAC
rnacentral:rRNA from 1 species